UGCCAGCAGCCGCGGUAAUACCGACGGGGGGAGCGUUGUUCGGAAUUACUGGGCGUAAAGCGCACGUCGGCGGAUUAGAAAGUUAGAGGUGAAAUCCCGGGGCUCAACCCCGGAACUGCCUUUAAAACUACUAGUCUAGAGUUCGAGAGAGGUGAGUGGAAUUCCGAGUGUAGAGGUGAAAUUCGUAGAUAUUCGGAGGAACACCAGUGGCGAAGGCGGCUACCUGGUCCGGAUGUGACGCUGAGGCGCGAAAGCGUGGGGAGCAAACAGGAUUAGAUA
rnacentral:rRNA from 1 species